rnacentral:rRNA from 1 species
CCCCUAGAUGUUCUGGGCCGCACGCGCGCUACACUGAACAGUUCAACAAGUCUUAACCUUGGCCGAUAGGUCUGGGUAAUCUUUGAACGCUGUUCGUGAUUGGGAUAGACCUUUGCAAUUAUGGGUCUUCAACGAGGAAUUCCUAGUAAACGCAAGUCAUCAGCUUGCAUUGAUUACGUCCCUGCCCUUUGUACACACCGCCCGUCGCACCUACCGAUUGAAUGGUCCGGUGAAUCUUUAGGACUGUGGCUGAGGCCUUGCCUUGUGCGGGUCUGGCCGUGGGAAUUUAGUUAAACCUUNCNAUUUAGNGGAAGGUGAANUCGUANCA